GACGAACGCUGGCGGCGUGCUUAACACAUGCAAGUCGAGCGGAAAGGCCCUUCGGGGUACUCGAGCGGCGAACGGGUGAGUAACACGUGAGCAAUCUGCCCUCAGCUCUGGGAUAGCUCCGGGAAACCGGGAUUAAUACCGGAUAUGACCACGGUCGGCAUCAGCCGUGGUGGAAAGGGUUUCCGGCUGAGGAUGAGCUC
rnacentral:rRNA from 1 species